GUCCCAAAGUCAUGGUUAAGUGGGAAACGAUGUGGGAAGGCCCAGACAGCCAGGAUGUUGGCUUAGAAGCAGCCAUCAUUUAAAGAAAGCGUAAUAGCUCACUGGUCGAGUCGGCCUGCGCGGAAGAUGUAACGGGGCUAAACCAUGCACCGAAGCUGCGGCAGCGAACGUAUCACCCAAGACAACUUUACGGAGUUGACGAUUGACGGAGCGAAGCGACGUCAAAGCGUUCAUUAAAGUCGAGUUGGCUUAGGGAUACGUUCGUUGGGUAGGGGAGCGUUCUGUAAGCCUGUGAAGGUGUGUCGUGAGGCAUGCUGGAGGUAUCAGAAGUGCGAAUGCUGACAUAAGUAACGAUAAAGCGGGUGAAAAGCCCGCUCGCCGGAAGACCAAGGGUUCCUGUCCAACGUUAAUCGGGGCAGGGUGAGUCGACCCCUAAGGCGAGGCCGAAAGGCGUAGUCGAUGGGAAACGGGUUAAUAUUCCCGUACUU
rnacentral:rRNA from 1 species